ACCAGGCUUCAUUCCCCC
rnacentral:miRNA from 1 species